rnacentral:rRNA from 1 species
UGCAGUCGAACGAGGNNUAUGACUUCGGUUAUAGAGCCGAGUGGCAAACGGGUGAGUAACGCGUGGGAAUCUGCCUAGUGGAAUGGAACAACUGCGGGAAACUGCAGCUAAUACCAAAUAAGCCCUGAGGGGGAAAGACUUCGGUCGCCAUUAGAGGAGCCCGCGUCAGAUUAGGUAGUUGGUAAGGUAAAAGCUUACCAAGCCAAUAAUCUGUAGCUGGUCUGAGAGGAUGAUCAGCCACACUGGGACUUAGAUACGGCCCAGACUCCUACGGGAGGCAGCAGUGGGGAAUAUUGGACAAUGGGGGCAACCCUGAUCCAGCAAUACCGCGUGAGUGAUGAAGGCCUUAGGGUUGUAAAACUCUUUCAGUAGGGACGAUGAUGACGGUACCUACAGAAGAAGCUCCGGCUAACCCCGUGCCAGCAGCCGCGGUAAGACGAAGGGAGCUAGCGUUAUUCGGAAUUACUGAGCGUAAAGGGCACGUAGGUGGUUUGUUAAGUUAGGCGUGAAAGCCCUGGGCUCAACCCAGGAACUGCGUUUAAUACUGGCAAACUUGAGAUCGGUAGAGGAAAGUGGAAUUUCUAGUGUAGAGGUGGAAUUCGUAGAUAUUAGAAAGAACACCAGAGGCGANNGCGACUUUCUGGGCCGAAUCC